GACGAACGCUGGCGGCGUGCUUAAUACAUGCAAGUCGAACGGAAAGGCGAUGCUUUUGUGGGGUGCUCGAGUGGCGAACGGGUGAGUAACACGUGAGUAACCUGCCCUUGACUUUGGGAUAACUUCAGGAAACUGGGGCUAAUACCGGAUAGGAGCUCCUGCUGCAUGGUGUGGGUUGGAAAGUUUCGGCGGUUGGGGAUGGACUCGCGGCUUAUCAGCUUGUUGGUGGGGUGGUGGCUUACCAGGGCUUGGACGGGAAGCCGGCCUGUGAGGGUGAUCGGCGACCUUGGAGCGGAGACAGGGUCAAGAGGCCUACGAGAGGGAGCAGUAGGCAACGGGAGGCAGCGGGCGAAAAUAUGGCGGAGCAGGCGGGAGUGUGAGACAGAGGCGCUGGGUGCGGAAAAACGGGCUACGGGGGAAGAACCAAUGUCGCAGGUAACGUGCCGGGAGUGACGGUAAUGAGUCAGAAAGCAACGGCUAACUACGUG
rnacentral:rRNA from 1 species